GACGAACGCUGGCGGCGUGCUUAACACAUGCAAGUCGAACGGUAAGGCCCUUCGGGGUACACGAGUGGCGAACGGGUGAGUAACACGUGGGUGAUCUGCCCUGCACUUCGGGAUAAGCCUGGGAAACUGGGUCUAAUACCGGAUAGGACCACUGCCUGCAUGGGUGGGGGUGGGAAGCUUUUGCGGUGUGGGAUGGGCCCGCGGCCUAGCAGAUUGGUGGUGGGGUUAUGGCCGAGCAAGGCGACGACGGGUAGCCGGCCUGAGAGGGUGACCGGCAACAGUGGGAAUGGGGUACGGCCCAGACUCCUACGGGAGGCAGCAGUGGGGAAUAUUGCACAAUGGGCGCAAGCCUGAUGCAGCGACGCCGCGUGAGGGAUGACGGCCUUCGGGUUGUAAACCUCUUUCAGCACCGACGAAGCGCAAGUGACGGUAGGUGCAGAAGAAGGACCGGCCAACUACGUGCCAGCCGCCGCCGUAAUAC
rnacentral:rRNA from 1 species